UACGUAGGGGGCGAGCGUUGUCCGGAUUCAUUGGGCGUAAAGCGCGGGCAGGCGGCCCGCUCAGUCGGCCGUGAAAGCGCCGGGCUCAACUCGGCGAGGUCGGGCGAUACUGGCGGGCUGGAGGCUGGUAGAGGGCGGUGGAAUUCCGGGUGUAGUGGUGGAAUGCGUAGAGCUCCGGAGGAACACCAGUGGCGAAGGCGGCCGCCUGGGCCAGUCCUGACGCUGAGACGCGAAAGCGUGGGGAGCGAUCCGG
rnacentral:rRNA from 1 species